GACGAACGCUGGCGGCGUGCUUAACACAUUCAAGUCGAACGGAAAGGCCCUGCUUUUGUGGGGGGCUCGAGUGGCGAACGUGUGAGUAACACGUGAGUAACCUGCCCUUGACUUUGGGAUAACUUCAGGAAACUGGGGCUAAUACCGGAUAGGAGCUCCUGCUGCAUGGUGGGGGUUGGAAAGUUUCGGCGGUUGGGGAUGGACUCGCGGCUUAUCAGCUUGUUGGUGGGGUAGUGGCUUACCAAGGCUUUGACGGGUAGCCGGCCUGAGAGGGUGACCGGCCACAUUGGGAAGGAGAUACGGCCCAGACUCCGACGGGAGGCAGCAGUGGGGAAUCUUGCACAAUGGGCGGAAGCCUGAUGCAGCAACGCCGCGUGCGGGAUGAAGGCCUUCGGGUUGUAAACCGCUUUCGCCUGUGACGAAGCGUGAGUGACGGUAAUGGGUAAAGAAGCACGGGCUAACUACGUG
rnacentral:rRNA from 1 species